GACGAACGCUGGCGGCGUGCCUAAUACAUGCAAGUUGAGCGCUGAAGGUUGGUACUUGUACCAACUGGAUGAGCAGCGAACGGGUGAGUAACGCGUGGGGAAUCUGCCUUUGAGCGGGGGACAACAUUUGGAAACGAAUGCUAAUACCGCAUAAAAACAUUAAACACAAGUUUUAAGUUUGAAGGAUGCAAUUGCAUCACUCAAAGAUGAUCCCGCGUUGUAUUAGCUAGUUGGUGAGGUAAAGGCUCACCAAGGCGAUGAUACAUAGCCGACCUGAGAGGGUGAUCGGCCACAGUGGGACUGAGACACGGCCCAAACUCCUACGGGAGGCAGCAGUAGGGAAUCUUCGGCAAUGGACGAAAGUCUGACCGAGCAACGCCGCGUGAGUGAAGAAGGGUGUCGGAUCGUAAAACUCUGUUGGUAGAGAAGAACGUUGGUGAGAGUGGAAAGCUCAUCAAGUGACGGUAACUACCCAGAAAGGGACGGCUAACUACGUG
rnacentral:rRNA from 1 species